GAUGAACGCUGGCGGCGUGCCUAAUACAUGCAAGUCGAGCGAAUGGAUUGAGAGCUUGCUCUUAUGAAGUUAGCGGCGGACGGGUGAGUAACACGUGGGUAACCUGCCCAUAAGACUGGGAUAACUCCGGGAAACCGGGGCUAAUACCGGAUAACAUUUUGAACCGCAUGGUUCGAAAUUGAAAGGCGGCUUCGGCUGUCACUUAUGGACGGACCCGCGCCGCAUUAGCUAGUUGGUGAGGUAACGGCUCACCAAGGCAACGAUGCGUAGCCGACCUGAGAGGGUGAUCGGCCACACUGGGACUGAGACACGGCCCAGACUCCUACGGGAGGCAGCAGUAGGGAAUCUUCCGCAAUGGACGAAAGUCUGACGGAGCAACGCCGCGUGAGUGAUGAAGGCUUUCGGGUCGUAAAACUCUGUUGUUAGGGAAGAACAAGUGCUAGUUGAAUAAGCUGGCACCUUGACGGUACCUAACCAGAAAGCCACGGCUAACUACGUGCCAGCCGCCGCCGUAA
rnacentral:rRNA from 1 species